UACAGAGGGUGCGAGCGUUAAUCGGAAUUACUGGGCGUAAAGCGUGCGUAGACGGUAGCGUAAGUCAGAUGUAAAGGCCCCGGGCUCAACCUGGGAAUUGCAUUUGAGACUGCUCUGCUCGGGUGCGGAAGAGGGAAGCGGAAUUUCCGGUGUAGCGGUGAAAUGCGUAGAUAUCGGAAGGAACACCAGUGGCGAAAGCGGCUUCCUGGUCCGACACCGACGUUCAGGCACGAAAGCGUGGGGAGCAAACAGG
rnacentral:rRNA from 1 species